UGAAGAAGGCUUGCCUCCAGGGAUGGUACAU
rnacentral:piRNA from 1 species